GCUAGUAUAGUAUAGUGGUUUGAGUGUUGGAUUAGGAUUCUGGAAGACCAGGGUUCAAAUCCCUGUUCAACCA